UACAGAGGUCUCAAGCGUUGUUCGGAUUCAUUGGGCGUAAAGGGUGCGUAGGCGGCGCGGUAAGUCGGGUGUGAAAUCUCGGAGCUUAACUCCGAAACUGCAUUCGAUACUGCCGUGCUUGAGGACUGGAGAGGAGACUGGAAUUUACGGUGUAGCGGUGAAAUGCGUAGAUAUCGAGAGGAACACCGGUGGCGAAGGCGGCCUUCUGGACAGUGACUGACGCUGAGGCACGAAGGCCAGGGAGCAAACGGG
rnacentral:rRNA from 1 species